rnacentral:lncRNA from 1 species
AACACCCUCAGCUCCCACAGGAUGCAGCUGCUGGGCUGGGAAACACAUCUGGAGGUGUCUGACUUGGGGCUGAGGGGUGACAUUGCACCUCCAGCAGCAGCAGCUUUAUGACACCAUUAAGAGAAAGCUCAUCAGCCUGGUGGUGAAUCUGCAGCCCCCUGGCUGACUGCAGCUCCCUACUCAUUUCAUAAAGCCCACAGCAAAAUUCUCCAGCAGGAGCAGAAGGGGGGAUAACCACAACUGUGUGGUUUAAUGUGCAGCUUGUCAGAGCUGUUUGAACGUUCUGUGCAGCCUUUGGCAAGGAGAAGGCUCCCCACGCUUGCCCGAGAGCGAUGGAUUUGGUAAGAAGGUGGAGAAUAAAAAAGCAGCCCUGCCUCCACAGCAGAGACGUUUUGAUAGUGGGAUUUUUGUGACAGAUCCUGCGUCAGUGAGAGCUGGGAGAUGGAGCUGCCUACACCUUCCCUUUCAAGAGAGCACAGCAAAAACACCAGGAGCACACUGCACCUCCAGAGCUGGCUCGGGAGAAAACAAACCCAGGCAGAUUAAAUGCUGCAACAGCAGAACCAUCGAUGCUGCAGGUGCCAGAUCCACAGCAAGGGGCCUGAGACAAGUGAACAUUCCCAGGUGAACAUGCAGGGAUAAACCUCAUCCCUCUUCAUCCCCUCUCAGCCUCUGCAGGGAUGGCUGGGGCUGCUCCCCAUCCCUGGGUGCUGCUGCCCUGCACCUCCUCUGUCCCAGCCCAGCCUCUCCAGCCCCAGAUCAUUCCAGGGAUGAGCACACACACAGGGGUACCUGUGCCCAAGCACAGCUCCCAGAAACAGAACAAACCUCAAACAGAACAAACCUCAAACAGAACAAACCUCAAACAGAACAAACCACAUCCCCCAGCCUGAGCCACCCACACCCCCCGGACACAGAGCAGCUCCACAGCUCCCUGUGGUUAAAUCACAAGUUACCUGCAAUGCCAUGGUCUGGAAUUAUGCAAAUUCUGUGUCAAGAGGGCAGGGAGCAAUUUCUGGCCUUUUUCCACUCCUGCACUGCUGAAACUGUGUUUGCUCAUCCCUUAAAAGGCCAGAAAAGAUUUUCACAAAAUAAAUGCAAAGUCAUUACUGAAAUGCAGGGAAAGCUGCCAAAAGAAGCAAUGCCUUCUGGACUAAACAAGGGAUUUAUUACUGAGCAACCACAGCACUGGGAAAAAUCCAUCACAAACUUAUUGAUUUAAACUGAUUGUAAGUAAUCACACACAAUUUAUAUUAAGUGAAACAUACUGCCAUCUAAUUUAGACUAAGUGAACAGAAUGCUACUGCUCUGAAUUCUGUUUAAAUGCAAACUCUAAUUGAUACCCAAAUAUAAAUAAUUGAGACUUUCAGAAAACAUGAAUAAAAUAUUUUGUUAUCUCCGUUUAUUAUGUAUC